rnacentral:rRNA from 1 species
GAUGAACGUUGGCGGCGUGCCUAAUACAUGCAAGUCGAACGAAGACUGUAGUAAUACUGUCUUAGUGGCGAACGGGUGAGUAACGCGUGGGUGACCUGCCCCGAAGUGUGGGAUAACAGUCCGAAAGGAUUGCUAAUACUGCAUAAUAUCCAAGAGAUUAGAUGCUUUUGGAUUAAAGGAGUAAUUCGCUUCGGGAGGGGCCCGCGUCCCAUCAGCUAGUUGGUAAGGUAAUGGCUUACCAAGGCGAUGACGGGUAGGGGACCUGAGAGGGUGCCCCGACAAGUGGAACUGAAACACGGUCCAUACACCUACGGGUGGCAGCAGUAGGGAAUAUUAGUAAUGGGCGAAAGCCUGAACUAGCAACGCCGCGUGUGCGAAGAAGGCCUUCGGGUCGUAAAGCACUUUUUGAGAGGAUGAGGAAGGACGGUACUCUCAGAAUAAGUCUCGGCUAACUACGUG